rnacentral:lncRNA from 1 species
AAAAAUACAAAAAAAUACAUACAGAAAAAAUAGAAAACAUCAAAUAUUCACUGUUUCAUUGAGUGUGAGCAGAUUCUGGGUUCCUCUUUUUCGUUUUCUAUUAUGACUUGGUCUGGUGUGCAGUUUGUACUCGUUUGAAUUAACUCCUGCUGGGUUCUAGCUGUUCUGUGGGUUCUCUUGGAUUAUCUACUGGUUUUUGUUUUCAAAAGCAUUUCUGGGUUUUGUUCUUGUAUCUGAAGGCUGAUGUGUCCUUAUUGUUGUUGCACUGACUGCUGAACCUCACUCUUCUUUUCCGUUCUCUCGAAUUCCAGGUACCCAACUAUGACUCUACAAAUUUGUAACCUGGAAUAUGAAUUUGUAUGAGGAAUUGAAGUUCAAAUGUGUUUUUCCUCUCAAUUGGUCUAUGUCCUGUAGUGUCUUUUUUACGUUUUAAUUCAGUGUAGAUGGUUACAUAAUAUACAAAUGGACUGUAAUAAGACUGCUGGGACUCAUUUGAUUAUCUAUAUUGUUUAAUCUUCAGUUUAGGAAUGUUUGAGUUUAGCAUAUUAGUUAAAUGGAAGUCAGUUGUCACAUUAGUUGUUGGAUGAAAUAGGAAUUGGUUAUUUUGUUAUUUCUGUCUUCAUAUGCUCGUAGCUUGGACAAGUUAUAACAUAAAUAAUUG